UACGUAGGGAGCAAGCGUUGUUCGGAUUCACUGGGCGUAAAGGGUGCGUAGGUGGCCAGGUAAGUUCGGUGUGAAAGCUCGGAGCUUAACUCCGAAAUGGCAUUGAAUACUAUCUGGCUAGAGGGUCGGAGGGGAGACUGGAAUUCUCGGUGUAGCAGUGAAAUGCGUAGAUAUCGAGAGGAACACCAGUGGCGAAGGCGAGUCUCUGGACGACUCCUGACACUGAGGCACGAAAGCCAGGGGAGCAAACAGG
rnacentral:rRNA from 1 species